rnacentral:rRNA from 1 species
UACAGGGGGUGCAAACGUUGCUCGGAAUCAUUGGGCGUAAAGCGCACGUAGGCGGUUCGUUAUGUCGGAUGUGAAAGCCCUUGGCUUAACCGAGGAAGUGCAUCCGAAACUGGCGAGCUAGAGUACGAAAGAGGAUCGCGGAAUUCCCGGUGUAGAGGUGAAAUUCGUAGAUAUCGGGAGGAACACCAGUGGCGAAAGCGGCUACCUGGCCCAUUCUUGACGCUGAGGCGCGAAAGCUAGGGGAGCAAACGGG